CUGGCGGAUUCUCUCAGCUGUGAGAGGAACGCAGAUCAGGCCACGUGCAUGUUUCGCCAUGAAGUUGAUAGCCUCUGGUGUGACCUUCUCAGCGGCAAUCACCA
rnacentral:antisense_RNA from 1 species